rnacentral:rRNA from 1 species
UAAGUCAGAUGUGAAAGCCCGGGGCUCAACCUCGGAAUUGCAUUUGAAACUGGCAGACUAGAGUACUGUAGAGGGGGGUAGAAUUUCAGGUGUAGCGGUGAAAUGCGUAGAGAUCUGAAGGAAUACCGGUGGCGAAGGCGGCCCCCUGGACAGAUACUGACACUCAGAUGCGAAAGCGUGGGGAGCAAACAGGAUUAGAUACCCUGGUAGUCCACGCCGUAAACGAUGUCUACUUGGAGGUUGUGGCCUUGAGCCGUGGCUUUCGGAGCUAACGCGUUAAGUAGACCGCCUGGGGAGUACGGUCGCAAGAUUAAAACUCAAAUGAAUUGACGGGGGCCCGCACAAGCGGUGGAGCAUGUGGUUUAAUUCGAUGCAACGCGAAGAACCUUACCUACUCUUGACAUCCAGAGAACUUUCCAGAGAUGGAUUGGUGCCUUCGGGAACUCUGAGACAGGUGCUGCAUGGCUGUCGUCAGCUCGUGUUGUGAAAUGUUGGGUUAAGUCCCGCAACGAGCGCAACCCUUAUCCUUGUUUGCCAGCGAGUAAUGUCGGGAACUCCAGGGAGACUGCCGGUGAUAAACCGGAGGAAGGUGGGGACGACGUCAAGUCAUCAUGGCCCUUACGAGUAGGGCUACACACGUGCUACAAUGGCGCAUACAGAGGGCAGCCAACUUGCGAAAGUGAGCGAAUCCCAAAAAGUGCGUCGUAGUCCGGAUUGGAGUCUGCAACUCGACUCCAUGAAGUCGGAAUCGCUAGUAAUCGUGGAUCAGAAUGCCACGGUGAAUACGUUCCCGGGCCUUGUACACACCGCCCGUCACACCAUGGGAGUGGGCUGCAAAAGAAGUAGGUAGUUUAACCUUCGGGGGGACGCUUACCACUUUGUGGUUCAUGACUGGGGUGAAGUCGUAACAAGGUAGCGCUAGGGGAACCUGGCGCUGGAUCACCUCCUUA